rnacentral:rRNA from 1 species
UACGUAGGGGGCUAGCGUUGUCCGGAAUCAUUGGGCGUAAAGCGCGCGUAGGCGGCCAGAUAAGUCCGGUGUGAAAGUCAAAGGCUCAACCUUUGAAUGCCGCUGGAAACUGUCUGGCUUGAGUCCGGAAGGGGCGAGUGGAAUUCCUGGUGUAGCGGUGAAAUGCGCAGAUAUCAGGAGGAACACCGGUGGCGAAGGCGGCAUCCUGGACCGGCAUUGACGCUGAGGCGCGAAAGCCAGGGGAGCAAACGGG